UACGGAGGGCGCAAGCGUUGUUCGGACUCAUUGGGCGUAAAGCGCGUGUAGGCGGUCUGGUCAGUCGGGUGUGAAAUACCGGAGCUCAACUCCGGAACUGCAUUCGAUACUGCCAGGCUAGAGUCCCGGAGAGGGUGGUGGAAUUCCCGGUGUAGAGGUGAAAUUCGUAGAUAUCGGGAGGAACACCAGCGGCGAUGGCGGCCACCUGGACGGUGACUGACGCUGAGACGCGAAAGCGUGUGGAGCAAACAGG
rnacentral:rRNA from 1 species